rnacentral:rRNA from 1 species
CGUACGAGAGUUUUUAACUCAAGUGGCGGACGGGUGAGUAACACGUAAGAAUUUGCCUUUAGGAGGGGGANAACAACUGGAAACGGUUGCUAAUACCCCAUAUGCUUUCGAGUGAAACGGAUUUUUCCGCCUAGAGAGAAGCUUGCGGCUGAUUAGCUUGUUGGUAAGGUAAUGGCUUACCAAGGCGACGAUCAGUAUCUGGUUUGAGAGGACGAUCAGACACACUGGAACUGAGACACGGUCCAGACUCCUACGGGAGGCAGCAGUAGGGAAUUUUCCGCAAUGGGCGAAAGCCUGACGGAGCAAUACCGCGUGAGGGAUGACGGCCUAUGGGUUGUAAACCUCUUUUUUCAGGGAGGAAUCAAUGACGUGUACCUGAAGAAUAAGCAUCGGCUAACUCCGUGCCAGCAGCCGCGGUAAGACGGAGGAUGCAAGUGUUAUCCGGAAUCACUGGGCGUAAAGCGUCUGUAGGUGGUCAAAUAAGUCAACUGUUAAAUCUUGAGGCUCAACCUCAAAACCGCAGUCGAAACUAUUAGACUAGAGUAUAGUAGGGGUAAAGGGAAUUUCCAGUGGAGCGGUGAAAUGCGUAGAGAUUGGAAGGAACACCGAUGGCGAAGGCACUUUACUGGGCUAUUACUAACACUCAGAGACGAAAGCUAGGGUAGCAAAUGGGAUUAGAUACCCUGGUAGUCCCCUGAAUUCCAGCACACU